rnacentral:rRNA from 1 species
UACGUAGGGUGCAAGCGUUAAUCGGAAUUACUGGGCGUAAAGCGUGCGCAGGCGGUUAUAUAAGACAGAUGUGAAAUCCCCGGGCUCAACCUGGGAACUGCAUUUGUGACUGUAUAGCUAGAGUACGGUAGAGGGGGGUGGAAUUCCGCGUGUAGCAGUGAAAUGCGUAGAUAUGCGGAGGAACACCGAUGGCGAAGGCAAUCCCCUGGACCUGUACUGACGCUCAUGCACGAAAGCGUGGGGAGCAAACAGGAUUAGAUACCCCCGGUAGU